AGCGUACACGGUGGAUGCCCUGGCAGUCAGAGGCGAUGAAGGACGUGCUAAUCUGCGAUAAGCGUCGGUAAGGUGAUAUGAACCGUUAUAACCGGCGAUUUCCGAAUGGGGAAACCCAGUGUGUUUCGACACACUAUCAUUAACUGAAUCCAUAGGUUAAUGAGGCGAACCGGGGGAACUGAAACAUCUAAGUACCCCGAGGAAAAGAAAUCAACCGAGAUUCCCCCAGUAGCGGCGAGCGAACGGGGAGCAGCCCAGAGCCUGAAUCAGUGUGUGUGUUAGUGGAAGCGUCUGGAAAGGCGCGCGAUACAGGGUGACAGCCCCGUACACAAAAAUGCACAUGCUGUGAGCUCGAUGAGUAGGGCGGGACACGUGGUAUCCUGUCUGAAUAUGGGGGGACCAUCCUCCAAGGCUAAAUACUCCUGACUGACCGAUAGUGAACCAGUACCGUGAGGGAAAGGCGAAAAGAACCCCGGCGAGGGGAGUGAAAAAGAACCUGAAACCGUGUACGUACAAGCAGUGGGAGCACGCUUAGGCGUGUGACUGCGUACCUUUUGUAUAAUGGGUCAGCGACUUAUAUUCUGUAGCAAGGUUAACCGAAUAGGGGAGCCGAAGGGAAACCGAGUCUUAACUGGGCGUUAAGUUGCAGGGUAUAGACCCGAAACCCGGUGAUCUAGCCAUGGGCAGGUUGAAGGUUGGGUAACACUAACUGGAGGACCGAACCGACUAAUGUUGAAAAAUUAGCGGAUGACUUGUGGCUGGGGGUGAAAGGCCAAUCAAACCGGGAGAUAGCUGGUUCUCCCCGAAAGCUAUUUAGGUAGCGCCUCGUGAAUUCAUCUCCGGGGGUAGAGCACUGUUUCGGCAAGGGGGUCAUCCCGACUUACCAACCCGAUGCAAACUGCGAAUACCGGAGAAUGUUAUCACGGGAGACACACGGCGGGUGCUAACGUCCGUCGUGAAGAGGGAAACAACCCAGACCGCCAGCUAAGGUCCCAAAGUCAUGGUUAAGUGGGAAACGAUGUGGGAAGGCCCAGACAGCCAGGAUGUUGGCUUAGAAGCAGCCAUCAUUUAAAGAAAGCGUAAUAGCUCACUGGUCGAGUCGGCCUGCGCGGAAGAUGUAACGGGGCUAAACCAUGCACCGAAGCUGCGGCAGCGACGCUUAUGCGUUGUUGGGUAGGGGAGCGUUCUGUAAGCCUGUGAAGGUGUGCUGUGAGGCAUGCUGGAGGUAUCAGAAGUGCGAAUGCUGACAUAAGUAACGAUAAAGCGGGUGAAAAGCCCGCUCGCCGGAAGACCAAGGGUUCCUGUCCAACGUUAAUCGGGGCAGGGUGAGUCGACCCCUAAGGCGAGGCCGAAAGGCGUAGUCGAUGGGAAACAGGUUAAUAUUCCUGUACUUGGUGUUACUGCGAAGGGGGGACGGAGAAGGCUAUGUUGGCCGGGCGACGGUUGUCCCGGUUUAAGCGUGUAGGCUGGUUUUCCAGGCAAAUCCGGAAAAUCAAGGCUGAGGCGUGAUGACGAGGCACUACGGUGCUGAAGCAACAAAUGCCCUGCUUCCAGGAAAAGCCUCUAAGCAUCAGGUAACAUCAAAUCGUACCCCAAACCGACACAGGUGGUCAGGUAGAGAAUACCAAGGCGCUUGAGAGAACUCGGGUGAAGGAACUAGGCAAAAUGGUGCCGUAACUUCGGGAGAAGGCACGCUGAUAUGUAGGUGAAGUCCCUCGCGGAUGGAGCUGAAAUCAGUCGAAGAUACCAGCUGGCUGCAACUGUUUAUUAAAAACACAGCACUGUGCAAACACGAAAGUGGACGUAUACGGUGUGACGCCUGCCCGGUGCCGGAAGGUUAAUUGAUGGGGUCAGCGCAAGCGAAGCUCUUGAUCGAAGCCCCGGUAAACGGCGGCCGUAACUAUAACGGUCCUAAGGUAGCGAAAUUCCUUGUCGGGUAAGUUCCGACCUGCACGAAUGGCGUAAUGAUGGCCAGGCUGUCUCCACCCGAGACUCAGUGAAAUUGAACUCGCUGUGAAGAUGCAGUGUACCCGCGGCAAGACGGAAAGACCCCGUGAACCUUUACUAUAGCUUGACACUGAACAUUGAGCCUUGAUGUGUAGGAUAGGUGGGAGGCUUAGAAGUGUGGACGCCAGUCUGCAUGGAGCCGACCUUGAAAUACCACCCUUUAAUGUUUGAUGUUCUAACGUUGACCCGUAAUCCGGGUUGCGGACAGUGUCUGGUGGGUAGUUUGACUGGGGCGGUCUCCUCCUAAAGAGUAACGGAGGAGCACGAAGGUUGGCUAAUCCUGGUCGGACAUCAGGAGGUUAGUGCAAUGGCAUAAGCCAGCUUGACUGCGAGCGUGACGGCGCGAGCAGGUGCGAAAGCAGGUCAUAGUGAUCCGGUGGUUCUGAAUGGAAGGGCCAUCGCUCAACGGAUAAAAGGUACUCCGGGGAUAACAGGCUGAUACCGCCCAAGAGUUCAUAUCGACGGCGGUGUUUGGCACCUCGAUGUCGGCUCAUCACAUCCUGGGGCUGAAGUAGGUCCCAAGGGUAUGGCUGUUCGCCAUUUAAAGUGGUACGCGAGCUGGGUUUAGAACGUCGUGAGACAGUUCGGUCCCUAUCUGCCGUGGGCGCUGGAGAACUGAGGGGGGCUGCUCCUAGUACGAGAGGACCGGAGUGGACGCAUCACUGGUGUUCGGGUUGUCAUGCCAAUGGCACUGCCCGGUAGCUAAAUGCGGAAGAGAUAAGUGCUGAAAGCAUCUAAGCACGAAACUUGCCCCGAGAUGAGUUCU
rnacentral:rRNA from 1 species